rnacentral:misc_RNA from 1 species
GAUGAAGAACGCAGCGAAAUGCGAUAAGUAAUGCGAAUUGCAGAAUUCAGUGAAUCAUCGAAUCUUUGAACGCACAUUGCGCCCCCUGGUAUUCCGGGGGGCAUGCCUGUUCGAGCGUCAUUUCACCACUCAAGCCUCGCUUGGUAUUGGGCAACGCGGUCCGCCGCGUGCCUCAAAUCGACCGGCUGGGUCUUCUGUCCCCUAAGCGUUGUGGAAACUAUUCGCUAAAGGGUGUUCGGGAGGCUACGCCGUAAAACAACCCCAUUUCUAAGGUUGACCUCGGAUCAGGUAGGGAUACCCGCUGAACUUAAGCAUAUCAAUAAGCGGAGG